rnacentral:rRNA from 1 species
CGGACGGGUGAGUAAUGCCUAGGAGUCUGCCUGGUAUUGGGGGACAACGUUUCGAAAGGAACGCUAAUACCGCAGACGUCCUACGGGAGAAAGCAGGGGACCUUCGGGCCUAUGCGCUAUCAGAUGAGCCUAGGUCGGAUUAGCUAGUUGGUGGGGUAAAGGCCUACCAAGGCGACGAUCCGUAACUGGUCUGAAAGGAUGAUCAGUCACCCUGGAACUGAGACACGGGCCAAACUCCUACGGGAGGCAGCAGUGGGGAAUAUUGGACAAUGGGCGAAAGCCUGAUCCAUCCAUGCCGCGUGUGUGAAGAAGGUCUUCGGAUUGUAAAGCACUUUGAGUUGGGAGGAAGGGCAGUAAGUUAGUACCUUGCUGUUUUGACGUUACCGACACAAUAAUCACCGGCUAACUUCGUGCCAGCAGCCGCGGUAAUACGAAUGGUGCAAGCGUUAAUCGGAAUUACUGGUCGUAAAGCGCGCGUACGUGGUUUGGUAAGAUGGAUGUGAAAUCCCCGGGCUCAGCCUGGGAACUGCAUCCAUAACUGCCUGACUAUAGUACGGUAGAGGGUGGUGGAAUUUCCUGUGUAGCGGUGAAAUGCUUACAUAUAGGAAGGAACACCAGUGGCGAAGGCGACCAUCCUGGACUGAUACUGACACUGACGUGCGAAAGCGUGGGGAGCAAACAGGAUUAUAUACCCUGGUAGUC